rfam:Naegleria gruberi genomic scaffold NAEGRscaffold_11, whole genome shotgun sequence.
GGCUGUUUAGCUCAGUGGUAGAGCUUCUCUCUCGUAAGGAGAAGGUCGAGGGUUCAAUCCCCUCAAUAGCCA